rnacentral:rRNA from 1 species
UACCCGCAGCACAAGUGGUGGUCAUUAUUAUUGGGCCUAAAGCGUCCGUAGCUGGCCUGUUAGAUGCCUGGGUAAAUCGAUGCGCUCAACGUAUCGAACUCCGGGGUAGACCGGGCAGGCUUGGGACCGGGGAGAGAUGUGAGCUACUCGAGGGGUAGGGGUAAAAUCCUGUAAUCCUUCGGGGAGGACCAGUGGCGAAGGCGCACAUUAGAACGGCUCCGACAGUGAGGGACGAAGCCCUGGGGCGCAAACCGG